UGCUGGAGGUAUCAGAAGUGCGAAUGCUGACAUAAGUAACGAUAAAGCGGGUGAAAAGCCCGCUCGCCGGAAGACCAAGGGUUCCUGUCCAACGUUAAUCGGGGCAGGGUGAGUCGACCCCUAAGGCGAGGCCGAAAGGCGUAGUCGAUGGGAAACGGGUUAAUAUUCCCGUACUUGGUGUUACUGCGAAGGGGGGACGGAGAAGGCUAUGUUGGCCGGGCGACGGUUGUCCCGGUUUAAGCGUGUAGGUGUGUGUUCCAGGUAAAUCCGGUUCACUUUAACACUGAGGCGUGAUGACGAGGCACUACGGUGCUGAAGCAACAAAUGCCCUGCUUCCAGGAAAAGCCUCUAAGCAUCAGGUAACAUCAAAUCGUACCCCAAACCGACACAGGUGGUCAGGUAGAGAAUACCAAGGCGCUUGAGAGAACUCGGGUGAAGGAACUAGGCAAAAUGGUGCCGUAACUUCGGGAGAAGGCACGCUGACA
rnacentral:rRNA from 2 species